rnacentral:lncRNA from 1 species
GACCCAAUGGUGACUUUAAUCACCAUUAUCACAUCACCUGAUCAUAACUACAUGGUGACUUUAUUAUUCUUUAUCACUUUACUUGAUCAUGACCACAUGGUGACUUUAAUAGCCAUUAUCACUUCACCUGAUCAUGACUACAUGGUGACUUUAUUAUCCUUUAUCACUCUACUUGGUCAUGACUACAUGUUGACUUUACUCAUCGC